UACGUAGGGUCCAAGCGUUAAUCGGAAUUACUGGGCGUAAAGCGUGCGUAGGCGGUCUCGCAAGUCCGAUGUGAAAUCCCCGGGCUUAACCUGGGAACUGCGUUGGAAACUAUGAGGCUAGAGUGCGGCAGAGGGGGGUGGAAUUCCAGGUGUAGCAGUGAAAUGCGUAGAGAUCUGGAGGAACACCGAUGGCGAAGGCAGCCCCCUGGGUCAGCACUGACGCUCAUACACGAAAGCGUGGGGAGCAAACAGG
rnacentral:rRNA from 1 species